CCUACGGGAGGCAGCAGUAAGGAAUAUUGCGCAAUGGACGAAAGUCUGACGCAGCGAUGCCGCGUGAGUGACGACGCCUUUCGGGGUGUAAAACUCUGUCAAGAGGGAAGAUUAUGACGGUACCUCUAAAGGAAGCAACGGCUAAUUACGUGCCAGCAGCCGCGGUAAU
rnacentral:rRNA from 1 species